AGGGAAUAUUGGGCAAUGGGCGAGAGCCUGACGCAGCGACGCCGCGUGAGUGAUUAAGGCCUUCGGGUUGUAAAGCUCUGUGGGGAGAGACGAAUAAGUAGAAGCGAAUACCUUCUAUGAUGACGGUAUCUCCUUAGCAAGCACACGCUAACUCUGUGCCAGCAGCCGCGGUAAGACAGAGGGUGCAAACGUUGUUCGGAAUUACUGGGCGUAAAGCGAGUGUAGGCGGUCUGCUAAGUCGGGUGUGAAAGCCCCGGGCUCAACCCGGGAAGUGCACUCGAAACUGGCAGGCUAGAGUACUGGAGAGGUUGGUGGAAUUCUCGGUGUAGAGGUGAAAUUCGUAGAUAUCGAGAGGAACACCGGUGGCGAAGGCGGCCAACUGGACAGAUACUGACGCUGAGACUCGAAAGCGUGGGGAGCAAA
rnacentral:rRNA from 1 species